rnacentral:tRNA from 1 species
GGCAAGAUGGCCGAGCGGUCGUAUGUAUCCUGAUCUCCCUGCGUAUAUAUCUGUCAUACUAACCUAAAGUAGUAAGGCGCUAGCUUAAGGUUCUCCUCACUCUCGAGGGACAUUCGCUAGUCCGAAAGGGCGUGGGUUCGAAUCCCACUCUUGUCA